GGGAGAGGGAAGGGGGCAGAUAGCAGGGAGCCGAAGAGAGAGAACAUUUUGUGGAGAGAGUUGCCUGGAUAAAAGCUGUGGUCUUUGGGAGAUCAGCCAGCUUGCAAUGAGGCAGAAGGGAGGGGGCAGGGAAAUAAAUACCGAUGCCUGACUCUCUUCUCUCCCACGCCAGGCAAGGCUCACAAAUGGCAGAACUCACUGAUGUGGUCCACAUGGUCUAGCCUUCUACAGCAGGAGCAGGACCAGCAAAGCCAAGUUCUGCAGCGGGGCCGUGUGACAGCUCUCCAUCUUCCUGCAUACAUCUCACUCAGAUGAAGUCCUUUCUCGCCCUCUAAACAGCUGGCCAAGGAUGAGUCACCACCACAGGAGAGCCAUAUCCUAGAGAAUGAAAGGGGAGUACAUUGCAGGCAGAAAAAAAACCAUCUUGCAGAAGGGCACAGAGAUACAGCAGAGUAUGGAAUGUGUGGGAACAGUAAGUUGUCUGGAGCACUAAAGCAUGCAGAAUAUCUUAAUCCCAAAACCUGAGGCUGAAAGAUACAUAGUAACUGGAUUUUGAAAGUUCUCAGUGUUGUCUGGAGAACUCCUACUCAUUUUCCAAGGUCCAUCCCAAAGAAGGAAAGAUAGAGCUAGUUAUAAGUGGAUGCAAAGCAUUCCGAGUGGAGCAAUCCCAGGAGCUGGGGCCAGCAGGGUGUUUGCGGACCAGCUUUUGAAAGGCCAAGCCCUUGUGGUGUUUCCACAGACAUUCUUCACCCAUUGCCAUCCAUCGCACAUGUUAUCUUCUGUGUGAUAGGUAUUCCAGCUCCCCCAGACUCCCUUGAAGCUCAGAUGCCAUACGACCCAGUUUGGGCCCAUGAGAUGCAAGUUGAACUCUACAGGAACCUAAGACUCCACACAUACAGGUGGAGCUGUCAUCUUGAGACCAGGAGGAUGCAAGACACACCGGGGAUAGCUGGGCGGAUGCCUGGAGGGAUCCUGAGUCCUCAGAACCUCGCUGAGCAGCUGCUGCAGCCUGGGACUUCCCUCGUCUGGAUGGUUGUUAUAUCUAAAAUAUAAUCCCCAGUUUGGUGAAUACACUGGAUGGGCUUUUGCUAUGUGUAAAUGCAAAAGUAUAAUGUAAAAAUGUGAAUGGGCUAAAUGCUACACCUUGGCACAUAACCAAUGCUUAGGGAAUUUUGAUGAUCCAGUUGAAUGGCCAGCUCUCCCUCUGUGCAGCUUAGGCUGCUCAGCCUCCAGUGGCCCAAUAAAGAGCCAUAAGGGAUGUAUGACUUUGAUGGA
rnacentral:lncRNA from 13 species